GUGGGCCAGGGCUUUCACUGGCUUGAGAAAGGGAACUUGGGGAUAGUGGCACCUGAACCAGAAAGAAGCAGCCAGAAACCAGGAAGGGGACUGCCUCGGGCUGAACGUUUGCAUGCCCGCCAGCUUGGAGGUUCAAAGCUAAUGCACCACAUGAUGGUGUAAGGAGUGGGGGCCCUGGGGAGGUGAGUCGUCCCGAGGGUGGAGCCCUCACCAACACAACUAUGCCCUUGCUAGAAGAUCCCCCACGUGAGGGACCUCCAGCUUCCAGGCCAUGAGAAAUAGAUGUGUGCUGUUUAAAAGUCGUUUUUUUUCUCAAAUAUUUAUUUUGAGAGAGAGGGAGAGGGAGAGAGAGAGAAUCCCAAGCAGGUUCCACGCUGUCAGCGCAGAGCCUGACCUAGGCCUCGAACCCAGAACCCACGAACCGUGAGAUCAUGACCUGAGCCGAGAUCAAGAAUCCCACGCUUAACCGACUGAGCCACUCAGACGCCCCUAAACAUUUGCUGUUUAAGCCCCCUGGUCUGUGUCGUUUGUUAUGACAGACCGUGCUGAGAUGGGGACGGAAAAACAGGAGGUGCUGAGGGGACAGUCAAGGAAGAGGAGACAAAGAUUUAAAAAGCAGGUGGGGAGGGGAUGGGCCUCAGAGGAAGAGGGGAGGCUGGUCCCAGAACUGGGUUUGGGUGUUGUUUUGUGGUCUGACACAGUGAAUUAAUAUGUUCCUUUCCUCUGACAUAACACGUUGUCACAAACUUGGUGGCUUGCAAUAGCAGAAAUGAAUUCUCUUGUAGUUCCAGAGGCCUGAAGUUCAGAGUCAAGGUGUUGACAAGGCCAUGCUCCCUCCAGAGUUCUAGGCGGCUCCUGCCUGCCUCUUCCAGUACCCGGUGGCCCCAGGAACUUCUUGGUUUGUGCAGCAUGGCCCCAGUCUCUGUCCCUGCCUUCCUGUGGCCUGUCCCCCGUGUCCCCCUGUGUGGGGGGGUCUCAGCUCUCCCCUUCUCAUCUAAGGACACCAAACACUGGAUUUAGGGCUCACCCCUCGGCGAACAUGAUCUCAUCUCCAGAUCCUUAAUUACAUCUGCAAAAACCCUAUUUCCAAAUCAGGUCACAUUCGCAGAUGGGGGGACAUUAGCACUUGGACAUAUCUCUUUGGGCACCACAGUUCAGCCCACGGCAAUUAUUUCCCUCGUUUUCACUUAUAUGCAUGGUAUUCUCUAGUAGGAGAUACUCUUAGGUGUAUCGGACAAAAUUUUAAAUUCUUUUUUGUUUUUCAUUUCGUUUUGCAAAAAAAAAAAAAAAGUAAAAUGAAUGGGUCCAUAGAAGAUAUUAAAAAUCUGGAGUAUGACUGAGAAAAAAGAGAGCAAUUGAAACCCUGAAAGUGAGUACAAAUCUCUGAUAGAAGUUUCCCUGUGAUCUCACUGGAUUCCGUGUAGGGUGAUGUCCAGCAACACAUCACAAGGAAACAUGUACGAUGGUGACAUUUUCAGGAAUCCCUGCGCUCGGCGAGUUUUCUAGUUGUAUAUUUGACUCAAAUAAAUGACUGUCCCAGCCGUUCAUCGAUUGAACGAACUCUGAACCCUGCAAGACACGGGUCAGAUCCUGUGAGGGGAACCAACCAGAAUGUGGCUGAAUGUGUCCCGGGAGAGUUCACGAUCUGAUAGGAGAGGAGGACCUUGUCACUGGAGCCCACGCGGGACAGCCACGGGCAUUUGGGGAAGAAGACUGCGCAUCCCAUUGGAGAGAUCCGCGAAGGGCUUCCUGGAGGGGGUGGCGUGGGGGCUGGGCUUUGCAGGAAGGAAGACUGAGCAGGCGGUCACGGGAGGCAGGCCAUUCCAGGCGAAGGCAGAAACAGAGCCUUGAGCGAGAGGUGUCGCGGUGCGCGUGGGGGAACAGGGGUGGUUCGUUUUGGCUGGCGUUGGAGUCUGUGGGAGAACAUAGCGGGGAUGGAGUGUAGCGAGGUCAAGGGGGGGCCAGCUCAUGGAGGGUGCCCAGGGCCACGCAAAGGAGUCUGUUGUGCAGACACAUCCUUCUCAGGAGGGCAGUUUGAGGGUUUCCAGUUGGAGAGAGCGGGAGAUAGUUGGAAAAAGCACCUCCAAAGGGAGCGUGCCUGCUCCCCAGGGUCCGAGGGCCUGCACGGCGGGAACCGUGCCAGCUCUGGGCAGGGCACGAUUCGUGUAAGACUUAGAGGGUGGGGUGAGGCCAGAGGCCGAGUCCCCCUGGGGACGCUCCCGCCAUCACCCAGCUACGAGCGAACGGGCACGGAUGGAGGGGAAUGGCCACGGGGAGAGAAAACAGCAGAGCAGCUCCCUCUGAGAUCUGAUUUGUGAAGCGUGGGCUGAACUCCCGGUUCCAGGGGGGCCGGGUUGGGCGGAUUUCGAGCUGGACGCUCACUCCUUGUUUAGGUUAAGACAGCGCGGGCAAUGGUUCUCUCGGCCUCUCCUCCGACAGUGUCUCCCUUGAUGAGUUGCUGAUUCUGAGGGUGAUUCUGAUGGUGGUCGACACACGGGCUGAGCCCACCAGAUCUGACCUUCUAGACGUCUUCCAUCCUGAGGACAUUGUGCUAAGUGAACUAGCAGUCACAAAAGGACAGAUGUCACUUACAGGAGGUACUUGGAGCACCACAAGAUACAGAGGGACAGAAAGCCACAGAGACAGAGACAGAGGGACAGAAAGCCACAGAGACAGAACGCCCCAAGGAUGACAUGAUCAGCGAUUGAAGUGAUCGUCUGAGAGCGGAGAACCUUCUUCCUUAGCUUGCAGGGUAACCACGCUCCUCUGACACUGUCGUAGUGGCCAAGCAGGCCCGUGAAAGUUACCAGCUUGCUGAUGACUCCUUGGCAGCGCACACGUGAUCAUAUGGCCCCCGGGACACCAGUAGAUCAAAUGCAAAUAUUGUUUGCAUAUUCAUCAAGAUACCACAUGGACAGUGCAAGCUGCUUCAAUUUAUCUUUCAAGGAGAAACUCAGCUGCCUCUGGCACGUGCACGGCCCUGGCUCCACUGGCAUGCCUGUGCCUGAACCGAUACGGAAGUUAUGUUGAAAGAAAAAUAUUAAAGAGGAGUGGACUCUGUUACCUGUCGCCCUCUGCUUAGCAUUUAGAAGUUGCCAGCCUGAUUGUGUUUUUCUUUUUCUCUUUUUUUAAUUUUUUAAAACAUUUACUUAUUUUUGCAAGACAGAGAAAGACAGAGCAUGAGCAGGGGAGGGGCAGAGAGAGAGGGAGACACAGAGUCCGAAGCAGGCUCCAGGCUCCGAGCCGUCAGCACAGAGCCCAACGCGGGGCUCGAACUCACGGACCGCGAGUUCGUGACCUGAGCCGAAGUCGGAUGCUUAACCGACUGAGCCACCCAGGAGCCCCUAUGUUUUUCUAUUUUUGAUUUAUUCUUUCCGACUUUCAAAAAUACAGUGAUGUCAUAUAUUUUAGCUAUAAAACCUACGAGCUACUUGUCCCCGAGGUGUAAAUAAUGAGAAAACUAAAUUUUCUGGCAAUAUACAAGUCCAUGAAACAUUCCCAAAGAAGUUACAUCCAUUUAAUAAUUAAGUAACAAAGAAUAUGGCAUAAGAAUUUCAUUCUUUUUUGAUGUUUAUUUAUUUAUUAGGGAGAGCACGCACAAGUAGGGUAGGAGUAUAAAGAGAAGGAGAGAGAGAAUUCCAAGCCGGUUCUACACUAUCAGCACACGGCCUGAUGUGGGGCUCGAUCUCAUGAACUGUGAGAUCGUGACCUGAGCUGAAAUCAAGAGUUGGAGGCUUGGGGUAACUGGGUGGCUCAGCCAGUUAAGUGUCCAACUUUGGCUCAGGUCAUGAUCUCAUGGUUUGUGGGUUUGAGCCCCAAUAUGGGCUCUGUGCUGACAGCUUGGAGCCUGGAGCCUGCUUCAGAUUCUGUGUCUCCCUCUCUCUCUGCCCCUCCCCUGCUCACCUCUUUCUCUCUGUGUCUUGCAAAAAUAAAUAAAAUGUUGAAAAAACCCCCAAAGAUUUGGAGGCUUAACUAGCUG